AGGGUAAUAGCUUAGUGGUAAAGCUUAGCAUGCACAUGUUCUGGGUUCAAUCCCCAGUACCUCCA
rnacentral:tRNA from 1 species